GGGUGCUUAACACAUGCAAGUCGAACGGAAAGGCCCUGCUUUUGUGGGGUGCUCGAGUGGCGAACGGGUGAGUAACACGUGAGUAACCUGCCCUUGACUUUGGGAUAACUUCAGGAAACUGGGGCUAAUACCGGAUAGGAGCUCCUGCUGCAUGGUGGGGGUUGGAAAGUUUCGGCGGUUGGGGAUGGACUCGCGGCUUAUCAGCUUGUUGGUGGGGUAGUGGCUUACCAAGGCUUUGACGGGUAGCCGGCCUGAGAGGGUGACCGGCCACAUUGGGACUGAGAUACGGCCCAGACUCCUACGGGAGGCAGCAGUGGGGAAUAUUGCACAAUGGGCGGAAGCCUGAUGCAGCAACGCCGCGUGCGGGAUGACGGCCUUCGGGUUGUAAACCGCUUUCGCCUGUGACGAAGCGUGAGUGACGGUAAUGGGUAAAGAAGCACCGGCUAACUACGUGCCAGCAGCCGCGGUGAUACGUAGGGUGCGAGCGUUGUCCGGAUUUAUUGGGCGUAAAGGGCUCGUAGGUGGUUGAUCGCGUCGGAAGUGUAAUCUUGGGGCUUAACCCUGAGCGUGCUUUCGAUACGGGUUGACUUGAGGAAGGUAGGGGAGAAUGGAAUUCCUGGUGGAGCGGUGGAAUGCGCAGAUAUCAGGAGGAACACCAGUGGCGAAGGCGGUUCUCUGGGCCUUUCCUGACGCUGAGGAGCGAAAGCGUGGGGAGCGAACAGGCUUAGAUACCCUGGUAGUCCACGCUGUAAACGGUGGGUACUAGGUGUGGGGUCCAUUCCACGGGUUCCGUGCCGUAGCUAACGCUUUAAGUACCCCGCCUGGGGAGUACGGCCGCAAGGCUAAAACUCAAAGGAAUUGACGGGGCCCCGCACAAGCGGCGGAGCAUGCGGAUUAAUUCGAUGCAACGCGUAGAACCUUACCUGGGUUUGACAUGGAUCGGGAGUGCUCAGAGAUGGGUGUGCCUCUUUUGGGGUCGGUUCACAGGUGGUGCAUGGCUGUCGUCAGCUCGUGUCGUGAGAUGUUGGGUUAAGUCCCGCAACGAGCGCAACCCUUGUUCACUGUUGCCAGCACGUUAUGGUGGGGACUCAGUGGAGACCGCCGGGGUCAACUCGGAGGAAGGUGGGGAUGACGUCAAGUCAUCAUGCCCCUUAUGUCCAGGGCUUCACGCAUGCUACAAUGGCUGGUACAGAGAGUGGCGAGCCUGUGAGGGUGAGCGAAUCUCGGAAAGCCGGUCUCAGUUCGGAUUGGGGUCUGCAACUCGACCUCAUGAAGUCGGAGUCGCUAGUAAUCGCAGAUCAGCAACGCUGCGGUGAAUACGUUCCCGGGGCUUGUACACACCGCCCGUCAAGUCAUGAAAGUUGGUAACACCCGAAGCCGGUGGCCUAACCGUUGUGGGGGAGCCGUCGAAGGUGGGACUGGUGAUUAGGACUAA
rnacentral:rRNA from 1 species